CAUGAAGUGCUGCAUUUCUCUCAGAACCAGUUGUGUAACGUCCUGUGUGGCUCAGCAGUGGGUUUUUAAAGUCAGAGACGACUCUGUCCCAGUUUGAGUUUUCAGUCCUCGUGAGCUAAUUAAGAUGUGGAUGUUCUCCUCGGGGCAAGUGUUCGUCUCAACCGCCUUUCAAGAGGCUCCUGGUCUCACAUUAAUCUGCGUCCUGAGGGGAACGAGGACAUCGAUCUGCUGUUCCCACCACAUCAAUCUCACUCUGACCAGAUGAACCAGAUUAAAGAGAAGAUGUUCAUCACAUCCAGGAAGUGAGGAGGGUCGAAAGAGCAGCAGCCAAAUUACCUGAGUGGGAGCGAGAGGGGUGUGUGUAUGUGCAUGUGUGUGUGUAUGUGUGUGUGUGUGCGCCUGCUGCAGGACACACUCCCUCAUCUGUGGUUCAUGAAGCUCAGCUCCUGCUCCCGCCUCCAGACAGAUUUGAUUUCUCCUCAAUCAGCUGCAGAAUCGUUGGUUUUGCAGAAUAAAAGCUUCAAACUGACUUUUCACUGCGGGUCACUCCAGAGGAAUCACAGAGAUUCACAUCUAAACACAGUUUGUACAUCCAGUAAACAAAUUCCGAAAGUCAGCCAUAGAUUUUUUAAAUAAAUGUUCAAAGACUCAGGGUCCAGAAGUGAAGCUGAUGUUGUACUGAUGAUCAAUUAUGAUUAUUUCUGAGCCAAACUGCAGAAACAUUUAAAACAUAUUUUCACGGUUCGGGACAGAAGUGUUUCUGUUUAACGAGCAGAUGAGACUCAACAACA